UGGGGAAUAUUGGACAAUGGGCGCAAGCCUGAUCCAGCCAUACCGCGUGGGUGAAGAAGGCCUUCGGGUUGUAAAGCCCUUUUGUUGGGAAAGAAAUCCAGCCGGCUAAUACCUGGUUGGGAUGACGGUACCCAAAGAAUAAGCACCGGCUAACUUCGUGCCAGCAGCCGCGGUAAUACGAAGGGUGCAAGCGUUACUCGGAAUUACUGGGCGUAAAGCGUGCGUAGGUGGUCGUUUAAGUCUGUUGUGAGAGCCCUGGGCUCAACCUGGGAACUGCAGUGGAAACUGGACGACUAGAGUGUGGUAGAGGGUAGCGGAAUUCCUGGUGUAGCAGUGAAAUGCGUAGAGAUCAGGAGGAACAUCCAUGGCGAAGGCAGCUACCUGGACCAACACUGACACUGAGGCACGAAAGCGUGGUGAGCAAACA
rnacentral:rRNA from 1 species